AUUGAACGCUGGCGGCACGCCUUACACAUGCAAGUCGAACGGUAACGCGGGGCAACCUGGCGACGAGUGGCGAACGGGUGAGUAACGCAUCGGAACGUGCCCAGUAGUGGGGGAUAGCCCGGCGAAAGCCGGAUUAAUACCGCAUACGACCUAAGGGUGAAAGCGGGGGAUCGCAAGACCUCGCGCUAUUGGAGCGGCCGAUGUCAGAUUAGGUAGUUGGUGGGGUAAAGGCCUACCAAGCCGACGAUCUGUAGCUGGUCUGAGAGGACGACCAGCCACACUGGGACUGAGACACGGCCCAGACUCCUACGGGAGGCAGCAGUGGGGAAUUUUGGACAAUGGGCGCAAGCCUGAUCCAGCCAUGCCGCGUGCGGGAAGAAGGCCUUCGGGUUGUAAACCGCUUUUGUCAGGGAAGAAAAGGCUCGAACUAAUACUUUGGGCUCAUGACGGUACCUGAAGAAUAAGCACCGGCUAACUACGUGCCAGCAGCCGCGGUAAGAC
rnacentral:rRNA from 1 species